CAGCACAGUCUCUCAGCUUCUUCCAGUCUCAAUGCGGGGAACUCGAGCUGAACUUGAUCCCUUUGCAGUUCAAAGGUAGGGACAUGUAAGUCUCAUGGAAGAAGUGGAAAAGUCAGCAGUAAGGGUCUGGAUAAGAUGCACAGGGGGAAGUUCCUCACUAUUUGAGGCACCAGAGAUGUACAGGGAUAACACAAAUGUUCUUCAUGAAUAAAUAUCCAUCCAGGGAUGAGUGUCCAGAUUCUUGAGAAAAGAGUGCACAGGACUUGAAUAAAUGUAGAAAUGUAUGAAAUCUUCCAUAUAAGUCCAGAAGCUGGGAAGACAACUGCCUUAAAGAAAUUAAGACCAAAUUGGUAGCCCGGAAGUGUAAACUGAGCCAACAAGAAGGACACUCUCCAAACAGGUCACCAUAAUUAUCAAUGACAGAUAAUGGAAGCCAGAAGUUACACACAAGUUUUCAUACCUGUUGACCAUUUCUCCACGACAUUUACAAAAUUGUUCAAUUGUAUAGUAAAGCAUUCCUUUCUGCCAUGUUUUCUUCAUGGGAUAUGAUAACUGACAAUGAUUAAUAACAUGUACCUUAAAUUUCACAUAAGUAGGAUUGUCCUUGUUACAAAGUUCUCCCUUCAUAUGAAUAUAUAUAGACUUUCCUAACAUACCCCAUUCUUUCUAUGAGGUCAAUAUAUCACUUUGUAAAGUCCUCUUUUCCUACAUGAUGUAAUAAAAAUCCAUUUUCACAC
rnacentral:lncRNA from 1 species